CUGCUCCAUGCAUGAUCAUCUAAGGACAAAACAGAAACCAAAGAAAGAAAAAUAUGCAAAGGCAACAUCAAACAUCAGUCCAUGGAUUACAUGAGCUAGCUUCCGGGAUGGCGUGCGCUUCGACAUCCUUAAACCGGGAUCAGAUCACCAACCGGAGCACCUCAUCGCGGGGAAGCUCAAGCUCUCUAACAGAACAGAGAAGGAGCUUCCGAACCGACGGAUGAUUCCUGCCGUGAGACCGCGAUGUAUCACCUGAAAAGGAAAAAAAAAGGGGAAGCCGCUGGCGGCCGGCAGUUCGGCAGGAUGGGGCGCACGUGCGGUACGUGUGUGUAUUAUGCUACCCUGCCUGCGGCUCCCGUGUCGCUCUCCGCUUUCUAUGUGCUGCUUCUCUUGUACUGCUGCCAAGAUAGUGCCUUGGGCAGUUUGAGACAGCGGAUUUCCAUUUGCCGGAUCAGGCUUGCUACAAGUCAAAUUUCACGAUUUGGUGGUGUUGUCUGUUGUGUGAUUUAUGUAUGUCUGAUCCGUUUGAUAGGCUGCAAUUUUCUAUAACUUGUAGCGUGUGUUUUGGGUUUACAGAAGGAAUAAAUCGGAACCGUACCACAAA